UUUGACUGAUAAUAUAAUUAUCUAAGAUUAUUGUUAAUUGUUUAGGCAGAGUGUAAUUGAACUUAAACUUGAUAUUUGUCCGAUUAGACCGUCGGGAUGAUUGAAUUGUGUCGGUUUCAACUCAGACUUAAAUAGUCUGAUUUGAUGUUAAGUCUUAUGUGUUGUAUAGACUGAUAGGAUUAUGUGAUAAUGUGUUUAGGUUAUUUUAUACUGUGAUGAUAUUAUUCUAAUAUUUGGAGAUCUGUAUUAUCUAUAUUAGGUCUUCGGAUAAAGCUAAGUUAUAUUUCGUAACGAUAAUCAACGGUGCAGGCAAGUUUGUUUUUCUUAACUCUACUAAGAGUGUUUCAUUCAGAUAUGCUUAUGGUUAAUCGUUACUGAUUACCAUGUAGAAUUGUACUCUGUACAUCUUGUAUGUAUAAGUCAGGUAUGAAAGGCUGAUCACCUUCAUUACCAGUUGGUCCAGAUAUAUAUUGUUCAUGUUUAAUACUUGUUCAGUCAAAGGUUUGUUCAUGCUAAUUCACAACUACAUUGUGAAUUAUAGCCAGCUUAUUAUUCAGACUCUUUUAAUCAUGAUAUAUCCUUAAAUUGUAUUUAAACUUGCUGGGCAAAUUUCAUGCUCACCCUUGCUAUAUCAUGAUAAAACAUUGCAGA
rnacentral:lncRNA from 1 species